CAAAUGUAAAUAUUACAAAAAAACAUGCACACGUGUGCAUACAGACACACACACACACACACACACACACACACAGAAGCCUUGCUUAUAUGUGCUCACUGUAUUACUGUAAUACAGGAAAUCGCAGGGUGGGUUUCACCUUCUGGCUCUGUAAAUACGUUUACUGUAUAUGUUUGAGCAGGGUUCCUGCCAGGCAUGUGUACACAUGUGUGUGUGUGUGUUUGCGUGGGCAUGAAACAGACAGACACAUCCUUGCCAUGUCAUCUGAAGCCUAGCUGACACCUACCAAUGAAUGUUUUACUACGCAUCGCGUUUCCUCCUCAGUAGGAGACACUUUCAGGGUCCGUAACUGAAAAAUAGGAAAUAUGUGUAAAUUACAGUGAGGCGUUCCAUCCGCUGACACUGUGUCAUUGCCCCAUUGGCCGUGCACCGGAGCGCCGCCCCGCUGGUAACCACUCACACAGCACCAUUCAUAAAUCACUGUCAAAUGUGCCAACGCUCCGGCUACCCGGGAACAUGAAGCAGCCUUUACUCAGCAUUUCAUACAAGGAUUCAAAGUGAGAAAAUUCAUUUUUAAGGAAAGGGAACACCAGAGGUUUACGGAAAACCUAACACAGGACAUUUGCCGCUAAAAAAAGUUAUCAUUUUAGCUGAUACUGGAUUGUUCCGUGCAAGAAAGAGCAAAGGACAGCAUGAGGUUGGAGCUAAGCAACCCUGCCUCAAGCUACAGCUCAGUGGCAGCAGAGAAUUGUGCUCUGACUGAAUUUCCGCAUCUAUGCUCAUGCAUUCCCACCGUAAUUCAAAGGAGAAGGUACAUUAAAUCUGACAGCUGCACUUCCUUAUUCAUUGUGCUCACCUUGGGCCUGUAUUACAAAAGUAAACUGCCACUUUAUUCAUUUUUGGCGCCAAUAAUACUUCCAAAGAUAUACUGUACUCUGGUGUAGUGUUGUAGUACUCAAGGCCGGUUUCAAGACCACUUUUUUGCGGGCUUGGUCUCAUCUCGAAAUCGACUUUAUUUUGACUCGGUCUUGUCCCGGUCUCGGGCAUAGAGGACUUGGGGUUUUAUUUCAGGACCAGUCAAGACCACACUGGCAAAACUGCUCGCAAUGCUGUGUUAGAUGAUGUUAAAAAAUGAAAAAGAAUGUUGAAUGAAUAAGUCUAAUAUAAAUGUAGUAUAAACAAUAUAAGUUGUUAUGUGGGUGCUGUUGCGCAAAGGUGGACAAGAGGAUUUAGACCAAACCUACAGUGAAUAAGGACGUCUGCACACCAGAUGAUGCUCCUGAUUUUUUUUAUUACUUUGCUACAUUCUGUGACAUUUAAGGCCCAAUCCUGAAUGUCUGAUGAAAAGCUUGGGCCUGAAAUGUCACAUAAGGUAGCAAAAUAUUAAACGAUUUGGGAGCAUCAUCUGGUGUGCAGACUCCAUCCUUUUUCUCUGACUGUUUCUGCUGGCCAGUUUUUCAACUGACGUGUGUGCUUCCUGUUGGUUUUCACACUGAGACCAAUCCUAAGCCCUUGCAUCAUGCAGUAGCCAUACCUGUGCUUGACCUGUCAAGAAGUAUUUAUAUUGAAAUAAAAAAAAUGUCCACGGUUCAAAUUAUAUUGUGAUACAAAUUUUAGGCCAUACUGCCUAGCCCCAAGAUUGUGCUUAUGCUUCACAUUUUAUAGUGUGUUGUGUUAUGUAGACUCAAACUUUAACCUGUUUCUGAUUUUGACUUGGUCUAGCCCUGCCUUAGUCUUGCCUUGGUCUCACCCUGCCUUGGUCUUGGUUUUGUCUUGGUCUCAAUACACUCUGGUCUUGGUAAUGCCUUGGUCUCAGUUUAGGUGGUUUUGGCUACAUCAUUACUAUGGUGUGAAAUUUACUUUAUGUGGAAUGCACAUUCCUAACUUUCAUCAGAAGAUGAUGUUGUUUUGCAUUUAUAUUCUGGAACUAGCCGACAUGUCAAAAUUAACACAUUCAUUUUUUCAGCUUUUCCCUUUACGUAAUAUCCCACCUACAGUUUGUCACUGGAAGGAGAAGAAACAACAAACUACCUUGAUGCAUAUUGUUUAACAAAAGUUUUCUGCCAACAAAAUAUAUAAAUGUUAUCUGAGAAAAAGGCAUAAAAAAUUAAGGUAUUAAGCAUCUGGUUAAAAACACUUAAUUUGGACUAAGAAUUAACAUCUGCACAGCUUGCAAUUGUGUAUCAUGGUCAGUUUUGAGUUGAUCAAAUCCAGUACUGUAGUAAUGUGUUAGAAAAUGGUGAAAUGCUUAUUUACCUCCAGUCUGAUGUGUCUCCUUUGGUUAAGUUAGAAUGUUUGUGCUGCAUAGCAGGUUCUUGCAUUAGUUCCUAAAAUUAAAGAGAAAAAAACAACUUCAAUGUGAAGUUAUAGCUAAUAACAAGUUACAUACAUUUUAUCCAAGUCCCAGGGUAUUAAAUGUGACGUUGUUACCCAGAUUCUCUCCUGUUCUCAUAAUCAGGACUGUGCACGAACCAACUUCAUUUUUGAAUAGUUCCAUUUAUGUAUUUCAGAAUUACUUGGCAAAGCUUUUUGUACCCUGUCUGGGCAUAAGUGCCCUGGCAUAUUAAACUCCUUUCUAAACUGUGCAGUUUUAAUUGAUAUGGGUGAUCACUGGUAGGAGCUAAGAAAGAGAUAUCCAUAGAUGACAAUUUACAGAGACAUGCCUGUGCAUAUUUUUCAUCAUUUAUAUGUUAUUGUUAAUGUUAAAACUCAUGUUUUUUAAAUGAAAUGUCCGCUGUGAGAGAUCAGCUUUCUGACUGGUUAAAUGGCUUUAGUCCCAAAUGCAGGCUCCUCCCUCUUCACAGCUGGGCACCGUGGCAACAACCUCUUAUCUCCAGCAUCAACUGAGCUGGCAGGACCAGCACAGGGUCAGCCAGUGUCCUCUUACAGAACAGGAAGAGUGUCAUCAGAAGAAUGCCAUGGGGCAUGGAAAUACACCUAAUGUCUUAACGUUUUAGACUCCAUAACAAGAGGUUUCUCAUAAAGGAAACUGUAAGCUAAUUUGUUGAGAACAACAUGUCUGACAAUAGCAUUACAGCUCUAUUUGCUAUUCAGUGCAGGGAUCUUCCUACAUUUGCAUCCCGUUUUUCAGUCCUUCUGCUUCUUCAGGGCAGUGGGGACAGUGUGGUGCCUCACUGGGCAGCAGUUGCGACCCCAGUCUUCCAGCAUCGGGGGUUCUGAUGCUGCCUCAGAAGAUUCAAUGUUCUUCCACUGGGCCCACUGGUUUCUCCCCACAGUCCAGUUUAGGGUCUAGGCCAGCCUGUGACCCAAACCUGGAUAAGCAGUUAGAAGAAUGAUUGGGGGUGGAUGCAGCGGCAGAUUAUCUCCUCUGGAGGCCCCCCCACGCAGGCCACCUGAGCUAUUUUUUGGAAGUGAAACUGAAACGAAAGAGAAUUAAAAACAAUGCGGCAUCAAUAAUUUUGUACUGGAGAAUCAAUUGGGGAUUAUAUUCAACUCUCCCAUUUUACCAGAGAUAGGGCGGGGCCCCUGAUUCUGCUGGGACCCUAGCCUGUACCCUUGAAAGGCCUAUGUAUUAUUCAGCCACUGGAUGGAUAGAUAUUUUUGCAGUAAUUGCUGAACAUGGCUUCAGAUUUAUGUUAAUAAACAGAUUUUAUGUUAAUUAGAGGCUUAAGUUUAUGACAGUUCCACAAAACAAAAUCUGCUUACAGCACCUACCACAUAGAUGCUGUGGGAAGGAGAAAUGAAAUGAGACAAAGACUGGGACAGAAGCAGGACUGCAUGCGCUUGGUUUCCAAAUGCUACCGAUUUACAGCAGCUGCCCUCCGGCAACAGGAUGCAAACUUCUUUGGGUCGUUAGCAUUAAGCGAAAUUGUCGAGCACAGCAGCUACGUGUUGAUGAUCAGAAACAAGAUGAUGCAAGUCAAACGGUGGCGUGUGACAUUUCAUUUUCCACCCUUUUGCAUCCCGCUAAUACAUUCUAGUACAAAAAAUUCAGUCAGUGUUUCAAUUGCCACAAUUCAUUGCCAUCAUCAACACUGGGCCCAGGGUGUUAUCACUGAGUAAUAGUGUUUUUAAGAGAAACUUUUCCAAAUUAAGUUUGUUUUGUUCUUCUGUCACACGUGCAACAGGACGACAAAAUCAAGGCUGGAACUUCGAGAAAAUGAAACAUACACUCGCAUCCCUGGAUGGUGUCCACAGCAGGCGUAACACGGAACACAUUGUACAAUGAACCAGUGCCAGGAUGCCUGGAAAACACCAUGGUUCCUUAGGGCCAGGCUGUUUACAGAAGAUUCCGGCUUAGCGGACUGCUUCAUUAGAACACCCUCAUCACCGCGGUGAUGACACGGCAUGCUGGUGUCUGCAGAAAACCAUUUGCUUUCACAUCACAUGCCAGUGAUGGAACGUCCAAAGUCAUUCCAUGGGGCUGUUAAAUUUAUUGCCAUCUGCCAAGAUUGCCAUUCUGUAGACCCUCAGUAUCAGUGGUCUUAUUUCGGGGUCGGAAUAGGCCUCGUUCCCAGCGCUGUGGGGCAGGAUUUUUCCGCAUCACAUGUCAGAUAUUUCUGCCGGCAGCUCCACAGUUACAGGUUAACUCCCCGUUCUGAAGAAGCAGCAGAGCGACUGGAAAAACACACGUGUCUGGCAUCCCUGACCUUCGGUUCUCCUGUUUCUUCCUGCUCACCGAGUCUGAGCUGAGGGAGGAAACAGGACUCCAGGAAACAGAUCAUUCUGAAGUCAAAUAUUCCAUAAUACCAUAAUCUCCAUAGUAAUAUAAGCAAAAAUGAAGGCUGGUAUUUAAUCUAAUCAUCUUUUUAAGAGUUGUCUUCCUCUGUUCUCAAACAACCCAUUUAGCAUUGUGUAAAUAAUGACAGGUUUCUGUAGACAUUGUAUUCAACCUCCACAGUACCUGUAUGCAUAUUUUGCAUGUUUUACUGCAGGUGGCUGAUGUAAAAGAACACUGAUGUUUUAUAAAUGAAGUGCAAACUGC